UACAGAGGUCUCAAGCGUUGUUCGGAUUCAUUGGGCGCAAAGGGUGUGUAGGUGGCGCGCUAAGUCGGGUGUGAAAUUUCGGAGCUUAACUCCGAAACUGCAUUCGAUACUGGCGUGCUUGAGGACUGGAGAGGAGACUGGAAUUCAUGGUGUAGCAGUGAAAUGCGUAGAGAUCAUGAGGAAGACCAGUGGCGAAGGCGGGUCUCUGGACAGUUCCUGACACUGAGACACGAAGGCCAGGGGAGCAAACGGG
rnacentral:rRNA from 1 species